AAGAUUAAGCCAUGCAUGUAUAAGUACAAUUCAUUUGAAUGAAACCGCGGAAAGCUCAUUAUAACAGCUAUAAUCUACACGGCAAUUAUUCUUAAUUGGAUAACUGAGGUAAUUCUUGAGCUAAUACACGCUUUAAUGCCACAUUCGUGGUGCGUUUAUUUGACUAGACAUCAUUUUGGUUGACUCAAAAUAUCCUUGCUAAUUUUUUUUUAAAAAAUAUGCCGUAUGAGUAUCUGCUUUAUCAACUUUCGAUGGUAGGGUAUUGGCCUACCAUGGUGUUGACGGAUAACGGAGAAUUAGGGUUCGACUCCGGAGAGGGAGCCUGAGAAACGGCUACCACAUCCAAGGAAGGCAGCAGGCGCGAAAAUUACCCAAUCUUAGUUAAAGGAGGUAGUGACGAAAAAUGACAAAGCAACACUUUUUAAGUGUUGUUAUUGGAAAUCUUGCAGUCUAAAUAACUGCUUGGUAAAGGAGAGGGCCAGUCUGGUGCCAGCAGCCGCGGUAAUACCAGCUCUCCAAGUGCAUAAAAUGAUUGUUGUGGUUAAAAAGCUCGUAGUUGGAUUUUUUGAAUAAGGUUAGUGUUAUGUAUAUAACAUCUAACAUGUUCAUAUUUUAGCAAUUAGCAAUAAUUGCCUGUUACUUUGAAUAAAUCAGAGUGUUCAAAACAGUCAUAUGACUGAAUAUCCUAGCAUGGAAUAACACUAUAGGAGUAAUUGUAGUGCGGUGUUUCACACAUUACUUCAUGGUUAAUAGAAACAAACGGGGGCAUUCGUAUCGAUACGUUAGAGGUGAAAUUCUUGGACCGUAUCGAGACGUCCUACUGCGAAAGCAUUUGCCAAGAAUGUUUUCAUUAAUCAAGAACGAAAGUUAGAGGUUCGAAGGCGAUCAGAUACCGCCCUAGUUCUAACCGUAAACUAUGCCUACUAGGUGUUUGAUGGUAAUGCAAAUUAUUAUUGAGCACCUUCUCGGAAACGAAAGUCUUUCGGUUCCGGGGGAAGUAUGGUUGCAAAGCUGAAACUUAAAGGAAUUGACGGAAGGGCACCACCAGGAGUGGAGCCUGCGGCUUAAUUUGACUCAACACGGGAAAACUCACCCGGGCCGGACAUAAGAAGGAUUGACAGAUUUAGAGCUCUUUCAAGAUUUUAUGGUUGGUGGUGCAUGGCCGUUCUUAGUUCGUGGAUAUGAUUUGUCUGGUUGAUUCCGAUAACGAACGAGACUGUUAAUUUAUUUUACACGUAGGAGAUUCUUAAUCUUUCAACGGUUAAUAAAUGAUUAGUGAUGUUUAAUCACUUGAGAAAGAGCAAUAACAGGUCUGUGAUGCCCUUAGAUGUCUGGGGCUGCACGCGCGCUACAAUGUAGUGAGCACUAUGUUCCUGAUUCGAGAGGAUUGGGUAAACCUUGAAAGCAUUACGUAACUGGGAGUGUAACUUGCAAUUAUGUUACAUGAACGAGGAAUUCCAAGUAAACGUGAAUCAUUAGUUCACAUUGAUUACGUCCCUGCCCUUUGUACACACCGCCCGUCGCUGCCCGGAACUGAGCAAUGUCGAGAAGACUGGGGACUGUUUCUUUAGGGAAAUGGAAACCAGUUUAAUCGCUAUUGUUUGAACCGGGCAAAAGUCGUAACAAGGUUUUCGUAGGUGAACCUGC
rnacentral:rRNA from 1 species